GCCUUCAUGAAGCCGGAAUUGCUAGUAAUGGCAGGUCAGCAUACUGCCGUGAAUACGUUCCCGGGCCUUGUACACACCGCCCGUCACACCAUGAGAGUUGGGAAUACCCGAAGCCUGUGAGCUAACAUUAAGAGGCAGCAGUCGAAGGUAGAAUCAAUGAUUGGGGUGAAGUCGUAACAAGGUAUC
rnacentral:rRNA from 1 species